AUUGAACGCUGGCGGCAGGCCUAACACAUGCAAGUCGAACGGUAACAGGAAGCAGCUUGCUGCUUUGCUGACGAGUGGCGGACGGGUGAGUAAUGUCUGGGAAACUGCCUGAUGGAGGGGGAUAACUACUGGAAACGGUAGCUAAUACCGUAUAACGUCGCAAGACCAAAGAGGGGGACCUUCGGGCCUCUUGCCAUCGGAUGUGCCCAGAUGGGAUUAGCUAGUAGGUGGGGUAACGGCUCACCUAGGCGACGAUCCCUAGCUGGUCUGAGAGGAUGACCAGCCACAAUGGAACUGAGACACGGUCCAGACUCCUACGGGAGGCAGCAGUGGGGAAUAUUGCACAAUGGGCGCAAGCCUGAGGCAGCCAUGCCGCGUGGAUGAAGAAGGCCUUCGGGUUGUAAAGUACUUUCAGCGGGGAGGAAGGGAGUAAAGUUAAUACCUUUGCUCAUUGACGUGACCCGCAGAAGAAGCACCGGAGAACUCCGU
rnacentral:rRNA from 1 species